rnacentral:lncRNA from 1 species
GGAUGAGAAGAGGAAUUUAGAACCACAAUUAUGAUUAUGAGUUAUUCACAUGAUUGUGGACAGGAACUGUUGAUUGAUGUUAUAGGGCUAAAACAUUAUUGGUGGACUUUUAACAUGGAGAAGAUAAUAGACUUUAUGGUUUAUUUUACUCUUCUAAUGGAUUACUCAUUCCGCUGCAACUAUGGUUGAAAAUUUUUAUCAUCUACUAUAUGUUCUAAAUCUUUGAUUUAUUACUGUUGAAGGCUAUUGAUAAUUUAUUUAUCUUUAGUCAUGAUUCUCUUUACUGGGCUAGUUGAGCUCACCCUUUUGCUUCACAAUUC